rnacentral:lncRNA from 1 species
CAUCCAGAGGUGUAAACCACUUCAUUAGAAGCAUCCAGUGGGAUGAAUUAGAGGAGCUCCUGUGCUAAGUCAUCUUUUAUCUUUUUAAUCCUGAGAGAGCAAACCUUGCCCUUUGUACAGACAGCAUGUUUGGACUUGGCUUGGGAAGAAUGAGAGUUGCAGUCUCUAGCACACAGUGCAGAUAGCAGCUCCAAACAAUGUUACGUGCCUGAUUUUAAACAUCCCUACAGCAAGGCUGUGUUUGGACACCACUUACUACCAGCAGAAACAUUUUUCAGCCAUAUGAUGGGAAGCAGAAGAAUCCCCUUUAGCAGGGGAAGAUGCUGAGCCCAUACCCCGAGGUGUUCAAGGCACUCUGGGUAAGUCCAGCACCCCUGAGUACUCCAGCCAUUACAUAAGCAUUUAAUCUAGUGACAGUCUAAUUAAUUACAGACCUUGAAAUGUAGAUCAAAAGAAGAUCCU